AGAGUUUGAUCAUGGCUCAGAUUGAACGCUGGCGGCAUGCCUAACACAUGCAAGUCGAACGGAAACGAUGGGAGCUUGCUCCCAGGCGUCGAGUGCGGACGGGUGAGUAAUACUUAGGAAUCUGCCCAUUAGUGGGGGACAACAUUCGGAAACGGAUGCUAAUACCGCAUACGCCCUACGGGGGAAAGCGGGGGAUCUUCGGACCUCGCGCUAAUGGAUGAGCCUAAGUCGGAUUAGCUUGUUGGUGAGGUAAUGGCUCACCAAGGCGACGAUCCGUAGCUGGUCUGAGAGGACGAUCAGCCACACUGGGACUGAGACACGGCCCAGUCUCCUACGGGAGGCAGCAGUGGGGAAUAUUGCACAAUGGGCGCAAGCCUGAUGCAGCAAUGCCGCGUGUGUGAAGAAGGCCUGCGGGUUGUAAAGCACUUUCAGUAGAGAAGAAAAGCCUAGGGUUAAUACCCCUGAGUCUUGACGUAACCUACAGAAGAAGCACCGGCUAACUCCGUGCCAGCAGCCGCGGUAAUACGGAGGGUGCAAGCGUUAAUCGGAAUUACUGGGCGUAAAGCGCGCGUAGGCGGCUUUGUAGGUCGAUGCGAAAGCCCCGGGCUUAACCUGGAAUGCAUUCGAUAC
rnacentral:rRNA from 1 species